GUAACUGCAGGAGCAUGUGACAAUAAAACUUCCCUAAGGCAUCCUUGAAAAGUGUUAAAAAGCAUUCUUUAGCCUGUGGACCACACGAAGCUACUGUCUGCCGAUUCCUUAGUCCCUUCCUCAUCCAGCAUCCAAGACCAGUCAGCUCACUCCUCCCCUAGGAAGGAACUCAUGAAGCCUGGCAGUAUGUGCAUGUUGUGGCCUUCCUCACUCUCAGUCACCAUGCCCCACUAAUGCUACAUUCCUUCCCGAAGGUCAAGGUCCCAUUUCAGGGUCCCUUUCCCCAUCAGUCACCAGUCCUUCUGGAAUGCUCUUAGGUACAACUUCCCUUCACCUGGCUGUCAUUUUGUAUUUGGGUCUUUGGGGGGAAGAGAGGAGUGUGCUUCUAGAGUCUUUUCUCACACUUUCCUAAUGGAAAUUAUGCUCCAUCUAUUAUUAGCACACGGCCCUAGACACUGCUUGUGCUAAGCAUACUUUCUACCACUACUGAGUUUCACUCCCAGCCCUGCACUCUCUUCCUCUCACCCAUUUAAAAUGUUUACCCCAGCCCGUAAUCAUGUAUUAUUUGAUUUUACUGGAGAUUUUCAGGAAGUUAGAGAUUUUUAUCUGCUUUGUUCAAGUUGAGGGCUGAACACCUAGGGGGUAUCUGGCACGAGGUGGGUGUUCCCAGAAAAUGCGCUCAGUGAAAGGGCCAGCAAGUAUCACUGAGUAUCACGUUCAGUCACCAGGCAGAAGGCUCGCUGACAUACACAGACUGGAAGCUGGAGGUGCUAUGGUAGCUCCUGGCCACCUCCUGCCUGUCUGUGGUACUAACCAUAGGUUCUGCCCUGAGCAGGUCCCUGCACUUGGAAACAGCUUUGUGCUCUGUAGCCUGCCCUGCAUUUCUUCUCUGGUGCCCUUCCUCUGCUGUUCUUCCUGGAAAUCAGCCUCCUCUAAUGAGGGUAACCCCCCACUCUCCUAACUCUGACCAGUUUUUCCACCCGGAGUUGCCUGGGAUCUUAAAGGCAUAGCAGUUAAAUCAGAUACACUACUCAGCUCCCUUUCAGGAAUGCUGGGGUAAUAUCCAGAGGCUGAGAGAAACUGGAGAAACAAGGCAGCCUUCAGAGGAGCCUCCCCCUCCCUGGAGUCCUCUAUGUGCUGAGCUUCACCCUC
rnacentral:lncRNA from 1 species